CUUCUACCACCACGUGACAGCCAAACCUUCUGAGUUCCACACCCGACGCAUCCAUUGCCAGGAACAGCGGCCACGGUAGGACCAGACCGGAGGUAGAUCACAGGAUGCGUGAAAAGCUCUUUAAUGACUCAGUGUUGGCAAAGAAACGACCCUAGGGAAGGGAGCCUGAGUCUUCAAGGCACCCCAAAGACGUGGGCGCUCCUUCCUGGCCUCCCCGAACCACACCGACAGGAGACCGAGGUCGCCAGCAGGAUGACGCCUCCCAGGAGCCCCGCCACGCUCAGACCUCGCAUCCUCACAGCAGCCCGGACGUCGGGCGGACGGGGAAUCCGCCACCACUGGUUCGAAACUCAGAGCCCCACUCGGAGGA